rnacentral:rRNA from 1 species
UACGUAGGGUGCGAGCGUUGUCCGGAAUUAUUGGGCGUAAAGAGCUCGUAGGCGGUCUGUCGCGUCGGUCGUGAAAACUUGGGGCUUAACCCUGAGCUUGCGGUCGAUACGGGCAUGACUUGAGUUCGGCAGGGGAGACUGGAAUUCCUGGUGUAGCGGUGAAAUGCGCAGAUAUCAGGAGGAACACCGGUGGCGAAGGCGGGUCUCUGGGCCGAUACUGACGCUGAGGAGCGAAAGCGUGGGGAGCGAACAGG